rnacentral:rRNA from 1 species
UACGGAGGGUGCGAGCGUUGUUCGGAAUCACUGGGCGUAAAGGGCGCGCAGGCGGUCUUAUAAGUCAGAUGUGAAAGCCCACGGCUUAACCGUGGAAGAGCAUUUGAAACUGCAAGACUUGAGUACCAGAGGGGAAAGUGGAAUUCCCGGUGUAGAGGUGAAAUUCGUAGAUAUCGGGAGGAAUACCGGUGGCGAAGGCGACUUUCUGGCUGGAUACUGACGCUGAGGCGCGAAAGCGUGGGGAGCAAACAGG